GACGAACGCUGGCGGCGUGCCUAAUACAUGCAAGUAGAACGCACAGGAUGCACCGUAGUUUACUACACCGUAUUCUGUGAGUUGCGAACGGGUGAGUAACGCGUAGGUAACCUGCCUGGUAGCGGGGGAUAACUAUUGGAAACGAUAGCUAAUACCGCAUAAGAACAUUUACUGCAUGGUAGAUGUUUAAAAGGUGCAAAUGCAUCACUACCAGAUGGACCUGCGUUGUAUUAGCUAGUAGGUGAGGUAACGGCUCACCUAGGCGACGAUACAUAGCCGACCUGAGAGGGUGAUCGGCCACACUGGGACUGAGACACGGCCCAGACUCCUACGGGAGGCAGCAGUAGGGAAUCUUCGGCAAUGGGGGGAACCCUGACCGAGCAACGCCGCGUGAGUGAAGAAGGUUUUCGGAUCGUAAAGCUCUGUUGUUAAGGAAGAACGAGUGUGAGAAUGGAAAGUUCAUACUGUGACGGUACUUAACCAGAAAGG
rnacentral:rRNA from 1 species